AUUCCUGGAAUUUAGGGGUCCGCCCGCUC
rnacentral:sRNA from 1 species